rnacentral:rRNA from 1 species
GACGAACGCUGGCGGCGUGCUUAACACAUGCAAGUCACGGGGGCCCGCAAGGGUAACCGGCGAACGGGUGCGUAACACGUGAGCAACCUGCCGAUCUGAGGGGGAUAGCCGGCCCAACGGCCGGGUAACACCGCAUACGCUCUUUUGGUCUCAUGACCGAGGGAGGAAACCUCCGGGGCAGAUCGAGGGGCUCGCGGCCUAUCAGCUAGUUGGUGUGGGUAACGGCCCACCAAGGCGACGACGGGUAGCUGGUCUGAGAGGAUGGCCAGCCACAUUGGGACUGAGAGACGGCCCAGACUCCUACGGGAGGCAGCAGUGGGGAAUCUUGCGCAAUGGCCGAAAGGCUGACGCAGCGACGCCGCGUGUGGGAUGAAGCAUUUCGGUGUGUAAACCACUGUUGCCCGGGACGAACAUCCAGUUUCGACUGGACUGACGGUACCGGGUGAGGAAGCACCGGCUAACUCCGUGCCAGCAGCCGCUGUAAC